GCGAGCGGAUGUUGUCGUAGUUAUGGCUUGGUAAGUGAUGGAACAAGGUGAGAUGCGCCUUGAGGAAGCUACGUUCCUUGGGAAAGUGUUCCUCCCGCAAUGUGUCGAAGAAGUGCUGGGAUUUGGGGUCAAGGACUAGGGUUAGAACGAUUGGGGCGGUCACGGUGCUGGCCAUAGCUGGUGUGUAUUGUCGAGUGGAUGCAUCUCUCGUAGCUAGCGGUGCAAGGCUUGUGAUCAUUCCUAGCUGUGGUUCCAGCAACAAUCCCAAUUCCGUCUUCUGAGCUCUAAAAUACUGUUGCAGUUUGCCUUGACCUCGGAGAAAUUGAGCGGAAGCUGUUCAAAGUUAAAGACAUUCUUAGCGACUCUGCAGACCUAGUGAAUGAGUAGAGAAAAAACUCUAACCUGAUUUUGUACUUCAGAUGGAGUGCAAGAAUUCCAUUCCCCCUUCCGCUUGUUCCCAAGCUUCUCUGCGUACUGAGAACAGAUUUCUUCCAAGUGUCACAUGAACUUAGCAAGUUGGUUUGCCAUAUGUCAAGUGACGCUGCUUCCGCAAGGGGACCAAGACUUGACACAGCGAAAAUUGCUCGUAACGUAUUCUUGGAUGAAGCUUAACAUCCAAAACAGAAGUACAGCGAUACUUGGUGCAAAUCUUAACUUUACACCAAAUAGCCGGCAGAUUCACAUUCUGUUUGCGACUCGGUUAUCGAAAAUGCAGAGGAAUCAUUAUUCUAUGCAACAGUAGAAGGAUUGUACAUCCUCUAGCAAUACGGAAGCCUGAUUCUGAGAUUGAAUCAGAAUGGUUCCAUCCGGUACUGUCACAGGACACUAAACACGGUUAUGAUAUUCUUCUUGUAGAGUAAACAAAGUCAGCCGACUGCCCACGAUGAAAAAUUAUGUUCAAUCAUUCACAGAAUUGUGGUGCAAGCAAGGAAAAUCUCGUAAAAGGUCGUAUGCACAACUAAACAAAUUUCUUAAUUGCAGGGUUCUAAUUUGUUGGAAAUUUAGAGUGUCUCAAGCUUGUAGAUUUGGUCAUUCUUUGUUAUGCUUUAGGAAACCAUUUGCAUAUAUCUGCUUACGAGAUUUCUCAGGAGUCUGUUAUUUUUCUUCUUUUUUCUUCACAUAAUGAGGGAUCUUCAUUUCUGUUCA